GUCCCUUUAUCUUCAUUUCCGCCCCUUCCCUCCCCCUCAGGAGGAGCUGACCCGAUUGCAGGCAGAGGUGGCUGAGCUGAUGGACGAGCUGAGGAAAAAGGAUGAGAGUUUGCAGCAGCUCCAGGCAGAAAAAGAGGCGCUGAGCAACACGCAGAGGGCAGAGGCAGAGCAGGAAAUUCAGGAGCUGCAGGAGCAGAAGAGGCGGCUGCAAGAAGAGCUGGAGGCUGCGGCACAGGUGGAGAAGGGGCUGCGGGAGCAGAGUGAGGAGCUCAGCCGGGAG